rnacentral:rRNA from 1 species
CCCUUAGAUGUUCGGGGCCGCACGCGCGCUACACUGAAGGAAUCAGCACGUCUUUCUCCUUGUCCGAAAGGACUGGGUAACCCGCUGAACCUCCUUCGUGCUAGGGAUUGGGGCUUGUAAUUCUUCCCCAUGAACGAGGAAUUCCCAGUAAGCGCGAGUCAUAAGCUCGCGUUGAUUACGUCCCUGCCCUUUGUACACACCGCCCGUCGCUACUACCGAUUGGAUGGUUUAGUGAGAUCCUCGGAUUGGUCCCGGCGCGGCCUCUGGUCGUGCCGGAGUGCCGAAAAGAAUGUCGAGCUUGAUCAUCUAGAGGAAGUAAAAGUCGUAACA